rnacentral:piRNA from 1 species
UGACUACAUGCUGAGUCUCUGGGUGAAC